GCUGGGCGCGAUGGCUCACGCCUGUAAUCCAAGCCCUUUGGGAGGCCAAGGCGGGUGGAUCACCUGAGGUCAGGAGUUCAAGACCAGCCUGACCAACAUGGAGAAACCCCGUCUUUA
rnacentral:SRP_RNA from 1 species